rnacentral:rRNA from 1 species
UACGUAGGGUGCAAGCGUUGUCCGGAAUUAUUGGGCGUAAAGAGCUCGUAGGCGGUCUGUUGCGUCGGCUGUGAAAACCCGGGCUCAACCCGGGCCUGCAGCCGAUACGGGCAGACUAGAGUUCGGCAGGGGAGACUGGAAUUCCUGGUGUAGCGGUGAAAUGCGCAGAUAUCAGGAGGAACACCGGUGGCGAAGGCGGGUCUCUGGGCCGAUACUGACGCUGAGGAGCGAAAGCGUGGGGAGCGAACAGG